rnacentral:rRNA from 1 species
GGUUAAGCGACUAAGCGUACACGGUGGAUGCCCUGGCAGUCAGAGGCGAUGAAGGACGUGCUAAUCUGCGAUAAGCGUCGGUAAGGUGAUAUGAACCGUUAUAACCGGCGAUUUCCGAAUGGGGAAACCCAGUGUGAUUCGUCACACUAUCAUUAACUGAAUCCAUAGGUUAAUGAGGCGAACCGGGGGAACUGAAACAUCUAAGUACCCCGAGGAAAAGAAAUCAACCGAGAUUCCCCCAGUAGCGGCGAGCGAACGGGGAGGAGCCCAGAGCCUGAAUCAGUGUGUGUGUUAGUGGAAGCGUCUGGAAAGGCGCGCGAUACAGGGUGACAGCCCCGUACACAAAAAUGCACAUGCUGUGAGCUCGAUGAGUAGGGCGGGACACGUGGUAUCCUGUCUGAAUAUGGGGGGACCAUCCUCCAAGGCUAAAUACUCCUGACUGACCGAUAGUGAACCAGUACCGUGAGGGAAAGGCGAAAAGAACCCCGGCGAGGGGAGUGAAAAAGAACCUGAAACCGUGUACGUACAAGCAGUGGGAGCACGCUUCGGCGUGUGACUGCGUACCUUUUGUAUAAUGGGUCAGCGACUUAUAUUCUGUAGCAAGGUUAACCGAAUAGGGGAGCCGAAGGGAAACCGAGUCUUAACUGGGCGUUAAGUUGCAGGGUAUAGACCCGAAACCCGGUGAUCUAGCCAUGGGCAGGUUGAAGGUUGGGUAACACUAACUGGAGGACCGAACCGACUAAUGUUGAAAAAUUAGCGGAUGACUUGUGGCUGGGGGUGAAAGGCCAAUCAAACCGGGAGAUAGCUGGUUCUCCCCGAAAGCUAUUUAGGUAGCGCCUCGUGAAUUCAUCUCCGGGGGUAGAGCACUGUUUCGGCAAGGGGGUCAUCCCGACUUACCAACCCGAUGCAAACUGCGAAUACCGGAGAAUGUUAUCACGGGAGACACACGGCGGGUGCUAACGUCCGUCGUGAAGAGGGAAACAACCCAGACCGCCAGCUAAGGUCCCAAAGUCAUGGUUAAGUGGGAAACGAUGUGGGAAGGCCCAGACAGCCAGGAUGUUGGCUUAGAAGCAGCCAUCAUUUAAAGAAAGCGUAAUAGCUCACUGGUCGAGUCGGCCUGCGCGGAAGAUGUAACGGGGCUAAACCAUGCACCGAAGCUGCGGCAGCGACACUAUGUGUUGUUGGGUAGGGGAGCGUUCUGUAAGCCUGUGAAGGUGUGCUGUGAGGCAUGCUGGAGGUAUCAGAAGUGCGAAUGCUGACAUAAGUAACGAUAAAGCGGGUGAAAAGCCCGCUCGCCGGAAGACCAAGGGUUCCUGUCCAACGUUAAUCGGGGCAGGGUGAGUCGACCUCUAAGGCGAGGCCGAAAGGCGUAGUCGAUGGGAAACAGGUUAAUAUUCCUGUACUUGGUGUUACUGCGAAGGGGGGACGGAGAAGGCUAUGUUGGCCGGGCGACGGUUGUCCCGGUUUAAGCGUGUAGGCUGGUUUUCCAGGCAAAUCCGGAAAAUCAAGGCUGAGGCGUGAUGACGAGGCACUACGGUGCUGAAGCAACAAAUGCCCUGCUUCCAGGAAAAGCCUCUAAGCAUCAGGUAACAUCAAAUCGUACCCCAAACCGACACAGGUGGUCAGGUAGAGAAUACCAAGGCGCUUGAGAGAACUCGGGUGAAGGAACUAGGCAAAAUGGUGCCGUAACUUCGGGAGAAGGCACGCUGAUAUGUAGGUGAAGCGACUUGCUCGUGGAGCUGAAAUCAGUCGAAGAUACCAGCUGGCUGCAACUGUUUAUUAAAAACACAGCACUGUGCAAACACGAAAGUGGACGUAUACGGUGUGACGCCUGCCCGGUGCCGGAAGGUUAAUUGAUGGGGUUAGCG